rnacentral:rRNA from 1 species
GACGAACGCUGGCGGCGUGCUUAACACAUGCAAGUCGAGCGGAAAGGCCCUUUCGGGGGUACUCGAGCGGCGAACGGGUGAGUAACACGUGAGUAAUCUGCCCUGGACUCUGGGAUAGCCACCGGAAACGGUGAUUAAUACCGGAUACAACCACUAUCCGCAUGGGUUGGUGGUGGAAAGUUUUUUCGGUCCAGGAUGUGCUCGCGGCCUAUCAGCUUGUUGGUGAGGUAAUGGCUCACCAAGGCUUUGACGGGUAGCCGGCCUGAGAGGGUGACCGGUCACACUGGGACUGAGACACGGCCCAGACUCCUACGGGAGGCAGCAGUGGGGAAUAUUGGACAAUGGGCGGAAGCCUGAUCCAGCAACGCCGCGUGAGGGAUGACGGCCUUCGGGUUGUAAACCUCUUUCAGUACCGACGAAGCGCAAGUGACGGUAGGUACAGAAGAAGGACCGGCCAACCACGUGCCAGCCGCCGCAGUAAUAC